rnacentral:rRNA from 1 species
AGUCACUGACAUUAGAUACCCCCGUAGUCCAGGGUGUAAACGCUGCAGACUUGGUGUUGGGGGCCCUUUGGGGGCAUUCAGUGCCGGAGAGAAGUUGUUAAGUCUGCUACUUGGGAGUACGUCCGCAAGGAUGAAACUUAAAGGAAUUGGCGGGGGAGCACCGCAACGGGAGGAGCGUGCGGUUUAAUUGGAUUCAACACCGUAAAACUCACCAGGGAAGACUGUUACAUGAAGGCCGAGAUGAAGACUCUGCUAGAUUUUCAG